rnacentral:rRNA from 1 species
UUGACCUCGGAUCAGGUAGGGAUACCCGCUGAACUUAAGCAUAUCAAUAAGCGGAGGAAAAGAAACCAACAGGGAUUGCCCUAGUAACGGCGAGUGAAGCGGCAAGAGCUCAAAUUUGAAAUCUGGCUCCCCGUUUGGGGGGUCCGAGUUGUAAUUUGUAGAGGGUGCUUCGGCGUUGGCCUUGGUCCAAGUUCUUUGGAACAGGACGUCAUAGAGGGUGAGAACCCCGUACGUGGCCAGCGGUCUUCGCCAUGUGAAGCCCCUUCGACGAGUCGAGUUGUUUGGGAAUGCAGCUCUAAAUGGGAGGUAUAUUUCUUCUAAAGCUAAAUACUGGCCAGAGACCGAUAGCGCACAAGUAGAGUGAUCGAAAGAUGAAAAGCACUUUGGAAAGAGAGUUAAAAAGCACGUGAAAUUGUUGAAAGGGAAGCGCUUGCAACCAGACUUGCCGGCAGUUGCUCAUCCAGGCCUUUUGGCCUGGUGCACUCUUCUGCCGGCAGGCCAGUAUCAGUUCGGGCGGCUGGAUAAAGACGUUGGGAAUGUAGCUCUCCUCGGAGAGUGUUAUAGCCCGGCGUGCAAUACAGCCAGCCUGGACUGAGGUCCGCGCUUCGGCUAGGAUACUGGCGUAAUGGUUGUAAGCGGCCCGUCUUGAAACACGGACCAAGGAGUCUAACAUCUAUGCGAGUGUUUGGGUGUCAAGCCCGGGCGCGUAAUGAAAGUGAACGGAGGUAGGAACCUUUUCUAAGGCGCACUAUCGACCGAUCCUGAUGUCUUCGGAUGGAUUUGAGUAAGAGCAUAGCUGUUGGGACCCGAAAGAUGGUGAACUAUGCCUGAAUAGGGUGAAGUCAGAGGAAACUCUGAUGGAGGCUCGCAGCGGUUCUGACGUGCAAAUCGAUCGUCAAAUUUGGGCAUAGGGGCGAAAGACUAAUCGAACCAU